UGCAAAGUCGAACGGUAGCAGGAAGUGCUUGCACUUUGCUGACGAGUGGCGGACGGGUGAGUAAUGCUUGGGAACUUGCCUUUGCGAGGGGGAUAACAGUUGGAAACGACUGCUAAUACCGCAUAAUGUCUACGGACCAAACGGGGCUUAGGCUUCGGCGCAGAGAGAGGCCCAAGUGAGAUUAGCUAGUUGGUGGGGUAAAGGCUCACCAAGGCGACGAUCUCUAGCUGUUCUGAGAGGAAGAUCAGCCACACUGGGACUGAGACACGGCCCAGACUCCUACGGGAGGCAGCAGUGGGGAAUAUUGCACAAUGGGGGGAACCCUGAUGCAGCCAUGCCGCGUGUGUGAAGAAGGCCUUCGGGUUGUAAAGCACUUUCAGUUGUGAGGAAAAGUGAGUAGUUAAUACCUGCUCACCGUGACGUUAACAACAGAAGAAGCACCGGCUAACUCCGUGCCAGCAGCCGCGGUAAUACGGAGGGUGCGAGCGUUAAUCGGAAUUACUGGGCGUAAAGCGCACGCAGGCGGUUUGUUAAGCUAGAUGUGAAAGCCCCGAGCUCAACUUGGGAUGGUCAUUUAGAACUGGCAGACUAGAGUCUUGGAGAGGGGAGUGGAAUUCCAGGUGUAGCGGUGAAAUGCGUAGAUAUCUGGAGGAACAUCAGUGGCGAAGGCGACUCCCUGGCCAAAGACUGACGCUCAUGUGCGAAAGUGUGGGUAGCGAACAGGAUUAGAUACCCUGGUAGUCCACACCGUAAACGCUGUCUACUAGCUGUUUGUGGCUUUAAGCCGUGAGUAGCGAAAGCUAACGCGAUAAGUAGACCGCCUGGGGAGUACGGCCGCAAGGUUAAAACUCAAAUGAAUUGAC
rnacentral:rRNA from 1 species